GACGGAGGGCGCAAGCGUUGUUCGGAAUUACUGGGCGUAAAGCGCACGCAGGCGGCCUGCUAAGUCCUUUGUGAAAGCCCGGGGCUCAACCCCGGAAUUGCAUCGGAUACUGGCAGGCUAGAGACUGGUAGAGGCUAGCGGAAUUCCUGGUGUAGCGGUGGAAUGCGUAGAUAUCAGGAAGAACACCUGUGGCGAAGGCGGCUAGCUGGGCCAGUUCUGACGCUCAUGUGCGAAAGCGUGGGGAGCAAACAGGAUUAGAUACCCUGGUAGUCCACGCCGUAAACGAUGGGCACUAGAUGCCGGGCAUAUAGACGUGUUCGGUGUCGCAGCUAACGCACUAAGUGCCCCGCCUGGGGAGUACGGUCGCAAGGCUGAA
rnacentral:rRNA from 1 species